AUCAAAGGUACCACCGUACAGUAACAAUGAUUUUCGUAUGUAUUUUAUACAAUAUUUUAAACAUUACUCUACUGAUCCAUAAAACAUUGCUAUAUCACAUAUAUCGUUAAACGAACGCCGCCGCCUCACACCGCCCACCAUCCGACCGGACUGGUAGAGAAUAGGUGUAGCUAAAUAUGCUUCUAAAAUUAGACGUUAAAUAGAAAUUAUGAUAAAUAUUUUUAUAUGAACAUUGCUAUAAUCGGUUACCAGACACUUAGGUAAGCAUAGUUCCAACAUCUAAGGUACCACCGUUCAGUAACAAUGAUUAUCGUAUGUAUUUUAUGAGAAAAUAUGUCACCACUGAUGGUGUUUCACGCCUACACAUUUUAUUCUUUACUAUACCAUCAAAUGUAUAGCUAUAAUUUCUAAGAAUUCUAUCAUCGACUACCAGACGCUUAGGUAAUCAUAUUUCCAUCAUCAAAGAUAUUAUAAUGCUCAUAUGCGACUCAUUUUGCGCCACCCUUACCACUUAAAAAGCGUCUCACUAAUCUCAUUAUAAGCCUCCCGUUCUUAUCAAAAUAAGAAAUCGAAAGGUGUGUGUUGGUUAUCAGUGAAACAAUUUGAUAACAAUUAAUUUAAUAUAACACCUCCAUCAACAUUUAAAUUAGCGUAUCAAUCAGUAUCUCACUUGAUAUCACCCAAAUCAAUUUAUUUAUGUGUUCUCUGAAAUAUUAUUUUCUCUCUCCAUCAAUAGUUGUUAUAUAUACGUUUUCAUUCUAGUGUAAAAACCAUAAUUCCUUUGAUAUUUCACUUAUGAUAAUUUACCUUGAAAUCAGCACUUCUCACUUCAUAGAUGUGUGUAUUCCCCCCUCUCCUAUUAUUCAAAGUUGGUUUAUAACACAUUCGUUUGUGGAAAAUCAAUCAUAUUAUAACUGUUUUCUUAUUUGUGCGUAAUCAGUGAAGUAUAACAGUAUGCUAUUCAAGAUGAACAUGAUGAAAAUGACUACGUGAGGAAAAGAUAUAAGAUUGACUAUUCGGAAUCAAUCUCAACCUGAGUUUGCUGUACUGGCUACAUCGGUCUUCAAUUUCAGUUUCAUAGAACAAAAAUUUUUGCAUAUCGGUUGCACAUGGGUAAUUGAUCGAUACGUUCCAAUUAUAAUAAUCAUAACACCAAUAAAUCAAAAAUAUAUCUGAGUACGAUGAUUAAUAUUGUCAAAUCAAAAUGUUUCUCGAAAAGUUAUUUAUCCAUAUCGAAUAAAGGUGUCGAAGAACAGAAAACAGAUCGUGUAUCAUUAACUAACGAAAACCUAUUUUGAAAGAAACGAAAUGAAACUAUGUCUUCUAGAAGUGAUAAAAGAAAAAUACGAAACUUGUAACUUGCUAUCAAUGCAGAGUAAAGAAAUCAAUAAAAAAGCAACGGAUAUGGUGAUAAAUAAGUUUUAUUUGUUACCUGAAAAUUUAGUCUAUUCAAUUGUAAAAACCAUUAAUACGUCGUUAUUACCAAAGACGUCGAUGGUAUUGUAUAAUGAAAUAAUCACAUUCAAUUACAAAUGCAUAGUGAAGCGUAUAUGGGAGAAAUUCGUAGUGGAUUUUAAUAAUCAAACAAAUCAGAAUAUUUUAAACACAAUGAAUAAUUGUGCAGUUAAAGGAUAAAUAUUUAUUUCUAUUUUAAAAUUAUUAAGCGUUAAACUAUGUAUGUUAUUUUAUAAAUAAUACCAAUUUAUAUCAAUCAAAGUAUCAAUGAGAUAACGACAAUGAUGAAGAGUAUCCUAACAACGGUGUAAUGCAUUCAUUUGAACAAAUUGAAAAAAUGGGGAUGCUGAAACGAUAUUUUUGAUUUUAUGGAUGAAAAAAUUGCAGUAAUAAUGGAGAAAAAAAAUCCUGAAAACAUUUGAAUGUGUCAUUUGUAAAAAUGUUGUUUAUGAAAAUAAAAUAAAAAUUAUUAUAAUCUCAUACUUGUUGAUUAUUUUAUAGUGAUCUCAAAUGAUAAUUUCUCACGAUGCAUAAUAUUUUAAAAAUAAAAAUUAAACGAUAACAGAUAGAACGAUGAUUAAAUAUCUAAUAGACUUUUACUUCAUGUAAAAUGGAAGUGACACAGUUAGCAUUUAAAUAAAGUGCAAUCAGCAAAUUUCAAAACCGUUAAUCAUCUCUUGUAACCCACUCCAGCAAAUAUUUUGAAAGUGUCAAUAAAUUUUCAUCCAAUCGCAGAGUAAUUAAAAAUGAUAAAUCAUCAUUUUAAAAAUCAUGCUAUAAAAUUGAACGAGAGUCUGUGUGAUCACAGUCAUCGAGUAAAAGGGUAUAAGCGAAGAAUUUUUAAAAAUUACUACAUAAUAUGAAAACUAAUCUGCUGUCUCCAGUACUUGGUGAAUACGAAUUUGCUAAUAUUCUAAAUAAUAUAAAAAUUUAACAAUUUUCACAAGAUAUGUCUCAAGAAUUAUUGCCUGAUAUUUGGAGUAUGGUUGAUUAUUACAUAAAUAUCGAAAAUCGACCACAGCCCAACCCAAUCCAAUAUUCCAUGAUUGACGCAGAACAAAAUCAAACUCAGAUUCAUGAUAAGGUAUGUGUUUAAUAUAUAUUUUUUUUUUUUUAAUUUUAUUAUGAUUUAAUUAUAAUUAUAGAAUCAUUUGUAUAAAGACGGCGCUUGUAUUCAUUCCGGUUCACAUUCGUAAUAUAUAUUAUAUUAUUAUAGGUGAUCAUAUUUCCAUUAUCAAAGGUAUUACUAUACUAUAACACUCAUAAGCAUUUGUAUUUUAUGAAAAUAAUUACGAUGCCGUCUGUGUAUAAUUAACAUCGAAUAUAUAGCCGCCAUUUCUAAGAAAUAGUAGUACUAAUACUAUACUGGUUACUAUAUAUCUAGUAGGGUAAAAAAGUAGUGUUAUAUCUUAAUUCAUAAAUUAUAAUAUAAUAUAUGAUUAAUUAGAUGUUAGACAAUAUUAAAGUGAUGACACUAUGCCGGUUUACAGAACAGCAUACCAUGUUUUCCUGGAAUCGUAUGAUCUCGAUUCAACAAGUCUGAACAUGUUUAAACCUGACUGAACGCGUUCAUAUCUGUUUGAACCCCGUCUGAACGUGUUUACAACUGUUUGUAA